CCGGCCUCCGUUUUCCCAGCUGUUAAACGAUGGGGGUGGGGACCAGAUGGGGCUAAGGGUCUUCCCAGCUUUGCUCUUCCUCAUCAAAUUGAGCUGCGUGGACUUCUUUAUGGGCUUGGAUUGGCCCCUUUCUCUGUGAAUGGCCUUUCCUGGCCCACCUUCCUAAAGCCGUUUUGAAAUCCUUACCUUGUAUAUCCUGCUACUUUCGAUAUGCAGGUAUCUGUGACAACCAGCUGCCGGGCAGGCACCGUUCUGAGGUGUUGGAGGUGCGGCUGGGGGCCUAGCCGUCCCUGUGCAGCUUACGUUCUCAAGGAGGGAGCUGAUGCGGGCCAAGGAGACAACGAAGCACAAAGCAGAUGAAGCCCAGGCUCUUGUGGAGAUUGUGCACUGACGGGGGACAUGGGAAACCAGCUAACUAACUGAUGUCCGGUAUCAGUUGGCAUGUACCAGUGGAAGCCGGAGCCUUGCUUGGAGGCUGUCACAGCUGUCCAGAGCCUUCUGGAGACUGUCCCAUAACCCUGAGCUGCAGGCCUUCCGGGCCUCGAACCUCAACCAAAGGCGGAAUCCUCAGGGCAUACUGGCUCUUCCUUCUGCCCGUGUCCCUGGCUCUGGGCCGGGCUGUGCUCCCUUCCGAGGACUCAGAGAAGCCAGGCAUCUCCUUGGGUGCUCCCAAGGUCCAAGACGAGGUCUUGCGUCUACUUGCUAAUGCACAGUUUAUUCCUUUUUCAAUUUUCUCUGGUACCUGUGCUUGUCCAGAUGUUUCCGUGGUGUGGUGGGAAGUGAGUUUUAUGGGGAUGCUGGCUGCGUGCCAUUUGGCCUUGCUUGCUUCUAGAGAUUCAGGGGCCUUGGAGCUGGGGCUCCAGCUGCACACAGCUGCCUGCCUUCUUGCAGCGUUUAGCUUUUGAGGCCGGCGGCUUCCUCGGCCCCAAACAUGUGAGUGACCUCAUGACUCUGGCCCUUCAGUGAUCCCCGACAAACUCUUCCAGCACGUAGGUGGAAUUCCUAUUUUUAAUAGCCAAGUUGUUGAGAAAUUGUAGGGCUUCUGCUUCCUUUUGAACAGAAGGUAUAUUUAUACCUUAGCUUCUCUAGAAUCUAGGAAGUCAUCCCGGCCCAGAGGAGGUCAGCAGGUGGCGUGUGGCGUGGGAUCACCCAGGAGACGGCCCCAGUGACGUCACACUCGGCUCACUAGGUCAGCCUGUCCGGUCCUCUCAGUCAGCUGAGCUCCGAGGGGGCCCGCCUGGCCCUGCUCUCUCCUGGGUGUGUGUGGGGGGGUGAGGGUGGACAGGAUCCAGGUCUUGGGGGCUUUCAGUGUCACACUGAGGGAUUUGAACUCUGUCCCUGAGCCUGCAGUGAGUUUUAGUGGAGGAGUAAGCAGAUCAGAUGUGCACUUCCAAGAGGCUGGAGGGAGUGGAUUGGAGCUGCAUUCUGUCAAGUCUUUUAUUUUACAAAGACCCGUGUACAGCCUCCCAGGAUGCCAGGACGCAGUCACUCCAGCCAUGUGCAAUGCAUUCCAGUGUUUUCUAUUCUAUUCUGUUUCAUUUGUUUUUCUAAAAAUACUGUUUGCAACCCUCUGCAUUGAUUUCCCAUCCCCCUGAACGUUUCUGAUCUGCAGUUUGAACAGCGCUGGGUUGGAGGGAGGAAGCCCGGGCAGAGGCUGCUGUCUCUGCCCAGCUGGGAAACUGCGGGGGUGGCAGUGCCAGGCCUGGGGCGGACGGGGCAGCUUCCAUCGGGGCGGGCCUUGGGCCCUGGGGCUGUGCGCAGCGCCUCGAAUCCGGAGGCUCAGCGUACCCCCUUCAGGAACCGUGGAGCAGCCCCUGAAGCAACGAGAGGGGCCCGUGAUGGUGUCGUGUUGGGGAAUCCAAAAGCUGUGCUUUCAUAACUCAGACAUGCUGCGUGGUGUCUGAAAGUCAUUUCAUUAAAUGUCGCAUGGAAUCAAAAUAGAAAUUACAUCUUUGGGACAAAGCCCGUUGAGCCAGGAGCCAGGCAUUCUGAAUUGGACCCAGAAUAGUCUCAUGGAAGCUGGGACCGUGGAUCCAAGGCAACCCUUGUCGACACGGCCAGCUUCUCCCCCAUCCCCCCGGCUCACACUUGAAUCCCCAGAUGUGGCAGGUGGUCCUGGAGCCCAGUCGACUCGCAAGGAUCAAUGCAGCUGGGGUGGGGGGGGGUAGGCAGUGAUGACAGCCCCCCUUCGUCACAUUCCUAGGUAGCCAUGCCAAACUGAAUAGUCAUGUAUCUUAUCCCUGAUCCCCACCUACUUCUGGGAGGUACACUUAUUAUAUUUGAGGAGGCUCAGGGGGGUCAAGGUAGGGGUCUGAAGUCGCAUAGCUGGCAAGAAGCUGGGUUUGAACUCCAGACCAGCUCCCACAGUUACUUUCUCUCCUGCAUCUCCCCUGUUGCUCCUGGUUCUUGCAACUAGCUGACCAAAGUUGAGGGACAUGCCCAGAUGAAAGCUGGGUAGCUGGGGGAGGGGCUUGGGCCUCGGCAUGUUUGAGGCUCCCUGGCAAUCCUGACAUCGCGCUAGCUGGGGACCACUGCUCUGGGAAGGGGCACGAGUGGCCUUUGUAUCUGCCUUCCAUCCCAGCCUCUGCUGGGUGGUGUGUUCAUUCAGCCAGUG